ensembl:lncRNA
UCUGUGCAGGCCCUAAAUGAAGAGAAGGGUCAUUCUCGACAGUCAGUGUCUAAUGGACCUCGAGUUAUGGCAGUUGUUAUUACGUCAGUGGAGCGGCCCAUAUUUUAUGAUGACCAUGCAUAUUCCCCCGAAGACCUCCAGCUCUUUACAGAUGCGCACCUUCAAAUUGGGUUUGGAGGUUAUUUGGAUUGAGGUCGUGGGAUUGACGCUCCGUGGUUUGGAUUGAGGUCGUGGGAUUGACACUCCGUGGUUUGGAUUGAGGUCGUGGGAUUGACACUCCGUGGUUUGGAUUGAGGUUGUGGGAUUGACACUCCGUGGUUUGGAUUGAGGUCGUGGGAUUGACACUCCGUGGUUUGGAUUGAGGUCGUGGGAUUGACACUCCGUGGUUUGGAUUGAGGUCGUGGGAUUGACACUCCGUGGUUUGUAUUGAGGUCGUGGGAUUGACACUCCUUGGUUUGUAUUGAGGUCGUGGGAUUGACAUUCCUUGGUUUGGAUUGAGGUCGUGGGAUUGACACUCCUUAGCCACCUCGCCAGACAUGUUUUCUGCUCGCUUUUCUUUAGACGAAUUUGGAACGUGAACGUGUGAAAUGACUUAUACAGAGCUGCUAGUUGAGAUCACAUUGUGUUCCCUCUUGUUUCUUGAUAGAGAGAGAGUAUCGUUGUUCUAAUUCAAACUCUAGUCUGUUUAGCUCUGAGGGGAUCUCAAUGUAAAUUAGCUAAAUGGUGGCAUAGGCUGUUACUUAGGGUAUAUUGUGUAUAUUUUUAAUGGUUUUCUUUUCACUUACUGAUUUUGUCGAAGAGGUUUUACCCAUUUCCUGCCAAGAUGGAGAAAGUUCCAUCUUUAACCGUUAAGUCUAUUGAGCUCCUACAGGCUGUUAAUAGUGUUACUUUAAUAUACAUUUGUUCACGAUUCUGUUAUAGUUAGCAUAUGGCAUAUAUAGCAUACGUUCUGUAUAAUUAAAUGUUUUUUUUUGUUUAAAAGCCAAGUCCCUUUACCUGCCAUGGUGGAUAUAUCUCCAUCUUCUCCCACGCUGGCAGAUGGUUUCUUCUCCACCCUCUGUGCUCGAUACGUAGCCUGUCUGGAGGUUAAUGCAUGAUGAACUCAGGUAAUUUAGCAACUGCCAAUCAUUUGUCUCUCUAUAAGUUCUUCCUCAUAACUCCUCGGCCAAUCCAUAGUCUCAAAUUGCUUAUUGACCUGAGGCAUCGGUGGAA